rnacentral:rRNA from 1 species
AUUUAACGCUGGCGGCAGGCCUAACACAUGCAAGUCGAACGAGUGGCGGACGGGUGAGUAAUGUCUGGGAAAAUGCCUGAUGGAGGGGGAUAACUACUGGAAACGGUAGCUAAUACCGCAUACCAUCGGAUGUGCCCAGAUGGGAUUAGCGAGUAGGUGGGGUAACGGCUCACCUAGGCGACUAUCCCUAGCUGGUCUGAGAGGAUGACCAGCCACACUGGAACUGAUACACGGUCCAGACUCCUACGGGAGGGAGCAGUGGUGAAUAUUGAACAAUGGGCGCAAGCCGUAUGCAGCCAUGCCGCGUGUAUGAAGAAGGCCUUCGGGUUGUAAAGUACUUUCAGCGGGGAGGCGUUACCCGCAGAAGAAGCACCGGCUAACUCCGUGCCAGCAGCCGCGGUAAUAC